CAAAUGUUUGGACACGGACAGCCUGCGCCUCGCCGCCGAGCUCGCCCGCGCCGCCGGACAGACCAUCCUCGCCGACAACCUCAUAGGCAGGACGCUGAACACCCAGGACGUACCGGCGGAACUCGACAGGCUACUGCCUUCCAGGGCCGAGUUAUUCUUGCGAGGGACGCAGCCGAACGGAGGUCAGCCUAACGGAGAUGACGGCAACGGGGAAGAUCAUGAUGAAUAGUUAGGCUUUUAAAAUACAACCAUGGCGUCUAGAAUGCAUGUACAACCCGCUGCAAAAGUGCACGGCCACAAGAAUGAACUCCAUUCAUAAUGUGUCCAUGCAAUUUUCCAGCUCGCUGACCUAUAUAUCUAUCAUCAUCAUUGGCCUUAAAGUCUAUUAUAUACUAUAGAAACAGUCUCAGGUAAGGUGACAACGUGUUUCGUGGCUGUGUAAGCCAAUACGGGAGCGGCAAACACGUCCACAAGCCUGGCAGGUGUAAUGUCCCAGAGGCGAACAGGUGUUGCUCUGAUGACCGCUUACUUGCGACGUGCGAGUGUCUUAAACCAAGCGUCAUCGUGAAUUUUACGCCCGUCGAACACCAGUUUGCGCCACUUGUCUCUGUACUCGGUAAGCUCCUCCCAUUUAUGAACCGGGAUGUUGAUCGAAGGAGUGCGUGUCGUUAUGUCGUAGCAUCGGCCGACCGACGCUUCUGUUGGCAUCAGCUAUGUCGCCAAGCAGAACACGCCGCGGUAAACGAGAAGGUUGCAUUCGAUGCGCAUGCCCCAGCCAGCGUAAGCGUCUCUGCUUUAAGCAGUGCAAAGCUGGGUAACUGAGCAGUCUCAAGAACCCUCUCGUUCGUGACCCUGUCCUUCCAAGAUAUGCCCAAUAUGUUCCGGAUGUGGAGGAGCGCGUGUGGAAAGCGUUGAGACGACGUUCGUGCUUGGCAUACGAUGUCCAGGUCUCAGCCCCGUACAAGAGUAUGCUCAGGAUGCAUGUUUGAUAGACAACCAUCUUGAUUUUCCUGGUUAGAUGUUUAUGUUGCCGUACUCUUGCACUCAACCUCCCAAACAUCGUUGCAGCUUUUCCGAUUCGAACAUCGAUUUCUGCAUCCGGUGAGAGAGCAAAACUUGUCGACUGACUCCAGCGGGGCGCCAUCCAACAGGAUUGUUGGUAUUUCCGCACACCUUUGAGUCAGCACUACAGUUUUCCGGGGUUUGAUGGACAUAGAGAACAGAGCACAGGCACGAGAACACUUGUCCAUAAUAAUUUGAAGGUCAAACUGCGAUGUGGCGAUGAAGGCUGCUUCAAUCAGCAAAGAGCAAGCUAUCAACGAAUAAAUCGUUUUCGCUUAGAUUUGAAAAGGGAAACGUAAAGUUUUCCAUCAGCCCUCGUAUGCAGGUGGAUACCCUGUUGGUCGUCACCGAAAGCUGUUUUCAGCAGUAACGAAAAGAAUAUACCAAACAGGGUAGGCGGCAGUACGCAGCCUUGCCGAACACCUUUUCGCAUAAAUAAUCUUGUCUAUAUGAUUUUUAAAAUUAGAAUUGACAAGCUAGCUACAUUAAGUGAUAUAUAAAGGCCGCUUAAGUGUCUGUUCUAGUUUGACCAUAGUCAACUAUAAAGACUUCUUCUUAAUAUUAAGGAAGAUUCUUCAGUUUUACUAAUGAAUAAUGAAUGUUGCAUGCGUCUUGGUAAAGUAAAAUAGUGUCAUUUGCUAUAAAUGUGGUAUAACUAUCACGGAAACAAAUACAAUGAUAUUAUUAAUGUUUAAACUGUCAACGAAUCCCUAGACUAAUUUCACUUCAGCUUCGAAAAUAAACAGGGUAGUCCGUCAAGAAAGAGUAGAUAAAAUGGGACUAAAAGCGAACCACAGUGGCAACACCAAAAAGAAGAUUGGUAUUGAUAAAAUUACGUAUUAACCUGUUAACUAUAAAUGGAGUACUGGAAUAUAGUUGGAUGGUUUAAUAACGGUACUUUUGAUAAUACUAAAUUAUUAAUAAUCUGCGUGAUUUAUCGGUUUGCUAUAUUUUCUACAUUCAUGCUAUAUCCCUUGCACAGAAUCGUUUAAGUUGGUUGUGUGACGUUUAAUUCCAAGUAAGUUUUCUAUCUAAAUCUACCGUAAAAAUCUACCCCUGGGCCCUAUCACAAAAAACGUUACAAGUGCACAAGUCGACAAUAUUGUGACGUAGAUAAUGUGUUACAUGCACAAUUAUUACAUACAUAUCAGAUCUACAAGUUUACAAUUUACAAAAAAUUCACACUUAAAUAACAAAGCUUAACACAAAAGAUGGUGAUUAUCAACUGUAGAUUUAUUCGUACAAUUUACAUAUUUGUUAAAAAUUAAUAAUAAAAUUUGUGGCUUAUUAUGUUUUCUGUCACUUGUAAUUGUAAGUUUUUUUGAUAUAGGGCCCUGUUAUCUUGUCACAACUAUCAAAUUCUUGUAUGUUUUUGUUAAUGUAAUUUUUUAUUUAAAUAUAUUUCUGAGAUAGUGUAUAGUUUUACACAGAAAGGUGGUCUGUGUAGUUUUAUCAACAAAGUUUUGAGUGUUUAGAAUACGGUGUUGCCUGUUGAAGCUGGCGUUAUCAAUUAAUGUCUACUCUUUCUUGUGGGAUUGUAUACAGGAUGUCCUUAGCCGUUGGACAAAGCCGAAAUGUACAUAUGCAUUAGGGUAUUUAGAAUCAGGCUAAGGUCAUCCUGUAUAAACAUAAUGUGUUUAAUGUGCCCCAUCAAAUAUGUUAUUCUGAGGCAAAAGGUACCUCUAUCGAUUGUUAAUAAUUGUUCUUAUUAACAAAGGACAAGGUGCAUUUUGCCUAAAAAUUUAGAAAACAUUAAGCAGGAAUCAGUUGUUUAUUUUAUCGACCUUUGUUGAAAACAGAUGCCUAUUGUUGUAUUGUUAAAUUUAUGAGCUUACGGUAUGUAUUUCACAUUAAACUAGGGCUAUUAAGGCAUUGUUUAAUGUUUAAGUUUGUUUGUGAAUAAAAUAAUGUCUGUUCUCU